GACGUAGGGCGCGAGCGUUGUCCGGAUUUAUUGGGCGUAAAGAGCUCGUAGGCGGUCUGUCGCGUCUGCUGUGAAAACUCAGGGCUUAACCCUGAGCUUGCAGUGGGUACGGGCAGACUAGAGUGCGGUAGGGGAGACUGGAAUUCCUGGUGUAGCGGUGAAAUGCGCAGAUACCAGGAGGAACACCGGUGGCGAAGGCGGCUUCCUGGCCGAGUACUGACACUCAUGCACGAAAGCGUGGGGAGCCAAACGGGG
rnacentral:rRNA from 1 species